UAGGAGCAUAAUACUUUCGAGGAACGUG
rnacentral:sRNA from 1 species